rnacentral:rRNA from 1 species
UACGUAGGGGGCAAGCGUUACUCGGAUUCACUGGGCGUAAAGCGCGUGUAGGCGGCUGGUCAAGCGUGGUGUGAAAUCUCCGGGCUCAACCCGGAAACUGCACCGCGAACUGGCCUGGCUGGAGUGCAGGAGAGGGAAGGGGAAUUCCCGGUGUAGCGGUGAAAUGCGUAGAGAUGUGGAGGAACACCAGUGGCGAAGGCGACUCUUUGGCCUGUAACUGACGCUGAGGCGCGAAAGCGUGGGGAGCAAACAGG